rnacentral:misc_RNA from 1 species
AUUUUUUGCUUCUCAGCUGCUUCAAUAUCAGCAACCCUAGACAUUGAAUCAACACGAACACGCGCACCAUAGAUCUUUACUUUGUCUGUGUCCAUUGCAGUAUUUGCCACCAAAAUUUUUGCAUUCUCUAUGCGCUUUGGUUGCCCAAUACCUAUUUUUUUGUCAAGAAUAAAUCCUUCAUCCAAGAAAGAUUCCUUCAGUGAACCCCCAGGCUUCUUGAUAAUUUGAAUAGACUCUAAGUUUGUACUACCCUUUAGCCUCAAAACAGCAUCCACAGCUAGUUUUGCAAAAUGUUCCUUAUCCUGUGAUAAAAUUUUGGAACUCAAAGUGGUCAUUGCAA